rnacentral:rRNA from 1 species
GACGAACGCUGGCGGCGUGCUUAACACAUGCAAGUCGAACGAAGUGGCGAACGGGUGAGUAACGCGUAAUCAACCUGCCCUUCAGAGGGGGACAACAGUUGGAAACGACUGCUAAUACCGCAUACUGAAGGAGGGGAUUGCGUGUGAUUAGCUAGUUGGGGGGGUAACGGCCCACCAAGGCGAAGAUCAGUAGGCUGUCUGGGGAGAUGAACCGGCACAUUGGGACUGGGAAACGGCCCAGACUCCCUCGGGAGGGAGCAGGGGGGAAUCUUUCGCAAUGGACGAAAGUCUGACGGCGCAACGCCGCGUGAGUGAUGACGGCCUUCGGGUUGUAAAGCUCUGUUAAUCGGGACGCGGUACCGGAAUAGAAAGCCACGGCUAACUACGUGCCAGCAGCCGCGGUAAUAC